rnacentral:rRNA from 1 species
GGUGAACGCUGGCGGCGUGCUUAAGACAUGCAAGUCGAACGCAGUCUUCGGACUGAGUGGCGCACGGGUGAGUAACACGUAACUGACCUACCCCCAAGUCGCGAAUAACCAGCCGAAAGGAUGGCUAAUACGUGAUGUGAUGAUCCGCUGUGGCGGAUCAUUAAAGACUUGAUCGCUUGGGGGUGGGGUUGCGUUCCAUCAGCUAGUUGGUAAGGUAAAGGCUUACCAAGGCAACGACGGAGAGCUGGCCUGAGAGGGUGGCCGGCCAAAGGGGAACUGGGACACGGGUCCGACUCCUACGGGAGGCAGCAGUUAGGAAUCGUCCACAAUGGGCGCAAGCCUGAUGGAGCGACGCCGCGUGAGGGAUGAAGGUUCUCGGAUCGUAAACCUCUGAACCAACGACGAAAGACCCGACAAGGGAGAUGACGGUAGUUGGGUAAUAGCACCGGCUAACUCCGUGCCAGCAGCCGCAGUAACAC